AAACACAAGAACUUUCUGGGAAUUUCAGGGAAAUUCAGAAGAGCUCACUAAACUUCAGUGUAGUUGACGGAUAAUCGGAAAGACCUAGGAAAUCUCAGAUGAGUUAAGGGAAAUUUCAGGGUGAAAGACUUUUCAGUUCAGAGAAGCUUCGGAUAACUUUGGAGAAGUCCAGGAAAAUCUUGGAGAAACUCAAGGUCCAUCAAAGAACUUUUUGAAAAAUGCAGGGAAAUUCAGAUGAGCUAACACAACUUCAGUGUAGUUGACGGAUCAUCAGAAAGACCCAGGCAAGCUCAGAUGAGUUAAGGAAAUUUUCAUACAGACUCUUCAAUGCCGUCUAAAGUAGUCUCAGAGAAGGACAGAAAAACUUUGGAGAAGUUCAGGACAACCUCAGAGAAUGGCAGGACGAAAGACUUUUCACAGACAUCUAAGGCAAGCUCAGAUAAACUUCGGAGAAGUUCAGGAAAACUUUGGAGAUACUCAAGGUCCUUGAGAGAACUUUCUGAGGUAUUCAGAGAAAUUGAGAAGAGCUAACAAAACUUCAGUGUAGUUGAUGGAUAAUCGGAAAGACCCAGGAAAUCUCAGAUGAGUUAAGGGAAAUGUGUACAGACUCUUUCGAGACGAGCAACCGAAGUUUAGGGGAACCUCAGAGGGUUUUAAAGAAGUUCGGAUAUCGUCAUAAAAGUGCAUUGAAAUUCGGAUAACUCAAAUCAGCUAAUAGAAGUUCCGAAAACCUCAUAGAAAUUCAGAGAUUCUCUCUUAUCAAAAAUCCAGGGACCUUCGGGGAAGUCCAGAGAACUCUUGGGACGCCAACUUCACAAACCAAUAUUUUGACGAUUUUUAACCUACUCAGUAAGUGCUCGCACAAAGAUGCUUGGGAAACCUUCAGAAAGCCGGACACAAAUUUAAUUUUGCGCAGAUGACCGGAGAGCUUCAAAAAACUUCACGGAACCUCAGGCUACGAGCAUUGCAAACACAGGAAGAGCUCAACGAACCUAGAAAAGCUUCGAAAAAUUUCAACAAAUUCAGAGAUCCUCAGAGAACUUCAUGCCACGUCAGACGUUUCUGAGGUCGCCUGAAGUUCUCUGAGGAUCUCUGAAUUUGUUAAAAGUUUUCGAAGCUUUCCUUGAGGAACUUAGACAGUUUGGGAAGCUUUUCCGACGAAUCUAAACGAAGUAAUUGAAGUACCGAGAAUCUUACGGAAGUGAGCAGUUCCACGCCAAAUAACGAAUCGGAAGAACUCGACCUUCUCCGAUUUGUAUGAAAUUUUGCAUAAUUGUUUGCUAUGGGCAAUGAUUCACAUUUUCGCAAAAAUUCGGCCAUUUUGGAUUGGGGAAAAUUUUCAAAAUGGCGUCUUUGAAGAUUAAAAAAAAAAAAAAAUUGUAUCUCGGAAAUGCCACUUCUGAUCGAAAUAACGGCUGAGACAAAGUUGUGGAGAAAAAUUAUGUUUUUCUGGGAUAAAUAGUCAAACAAAUGUUUUUAUUAAAACAGUUUUUUGUAUAUUUUUCCAAGAAAGACAUUAUUUUUCUCUAUAACUUUGUCUCAGACGUCAUUUCGAUCAAAAAAUCCGUUUCCAUGCAAUUAUUUUUUUAAAGAAAACCAAGAACGCCAUUUUGAAAAUUUUGCAAGAUGGCCGAAUUUUUGCGGAAAAUGUGAAUCAUUGCCCAUAACAAGCAAUCGAAGAAGGUCGAUUCAAGAAAUCAAUUUUUUUUCGCCAUUUUGCCUGGAAUUGAUCAAAUACAAAAAAUCUUUAGGAUGUUUGAAGGACUUAGUGCAAUCCUACGUUCGAAACGUAUUUUCCACACAACAACAUGUUUUGUAUGGAAAGUACGUUUAGAACGUACUGGAUGUUUACAGACUUGCAGAGUCCCACCCAGAGUCCCCAGAAUCCAUAAAACAGUGUUGCCAAAAAAAUAUUCCGUUUAAACCAACUGCCAUCUGAAAUGCGCCCCCACCCUCUUCCCAGUAUCGUGGUUCUUCGGUUCCAGACCCCAAAGAAACGCGGAAAGUAGCCCACUCAGAAAGAGAACCGGCGUUUUAAAACAAGUCGCUCUCCCAGUCGAGCAAAGCAAGCAUAUUUUCCUAGAAAAAAAAUGUAUUGAAACAAUUUUAAACAAACCUUAAAACCGGAAAAACCGUUUUUGUCGGAAAGCAAAAAUCGAUCUCUUAGAAAAAAAGCAAAGAAAUAUAACAAAGUGAAUGAAAGCAAGUUGCAAUUUUUUUACGAAACUUACCUAAAUAUAAACAAGCAAACAAACAAACCAAGUUUCACACAGUGACAGUUUUCGUAUCUCUCCCGUUUUUUUUCCCAAACAAAGAAAAUAUUUCUUAAAGUUCUCUCUAUAAUUCAUGUUUAAACAACCAAGUAUUCAAAGCAAAACAGAAGCAAGAAAGCAAAGCAAACCAAUCAAGUGACGAGACAACUUCAAGAACAUGGGUACUUAAAAAACACUAAUGCUAACAUAACACAGAAAUGCUCUCUAGAACAUUAAAAACAAAAACUAGUAAGGAUAAAAUCCAGUCUUAAGUGAAACAAAAACAACUACUAGGAGUAAAACAGAAACAGAAUAAAAGAGAGACAAAAAGCAGAAACCAUAGAAAUCUAUUGAAAAAAAAACGCAUAACUAAUCGUUAGUGGUGUGCUACAGAAAACAGGAAAAGUCUAGAGAAAAGAAACAAUGAAAGCGUUUGCUGCUGUGUGAACGAGCGAGAGAGAGAGUGAGAUAGGUGUCAGGAGAAAUGUCAGCCUAAAAAUUCACCAGCACCACCAGGGGCACAGCAGCCAUGAACAUACAACAUAUAACAGCCAUACUACGACCCACAGAGACAUACCUUCACACAAACAAACACACAUCUGAGCGACACACAAACACACACACACGUGCAAGCAAAAGACGAAAAGAAGAAAACAUCGCAUCUUAAACUACAACUACUACUAUUACUACUUACUGACAUCGUCGCCAUAUUAGAUAGAAAACGUUUAUAAAUACUUAAACUGAAGGAUAAUAUUGAAACAAACAACACUAUUUACGCGCAUAAUUGUAAUAUAUUAUUAUCACCAAAAAAAAACCACGAAGAUAAAGAAUCGCUAGAAAGAGACAGCGGAACCGAGUAGGAAACGUAUUGUAAGUGUAGGAAAUGUUCUCUCGUCGUCGGUUCUUUUUUCUUAACUUAAAAACACACACAUUCACACCAAAUCAAAUCAUAGCAUCGUCGUACAUACACACAUACACAGACACACACACACACAAUCAAUCACACGCACUCACUUGCAUCAUUAUACUAUAGAGUAGCUAAUUCGGUUUUCGCGGCGUACUGUAGGGAUAUGAACGAACCAAAAACCAAACAAACAAAAGAAAAUUCUAGCAGAAGCUCGAUUCUCACGACAUGUUGACCAAAAAAAAAACACUAUUGUAUUGUAGCAUGCGUACUAUUACUACUAGUGUGGGUAUAAAGGAAGGUUAGGAUCGUAGUUUUCGAAGUCGCGGUGGCGAAAAAAAAACGAAACGUGAGCUGCGUCAAAACCGGCUGAAAGUUCCCACCUUUCAUUUAAAAAAAAAUCUUGUCCGAAAGGUGUGAACAAGAUUGGCGCUGUGUUUGACCCCCACACGAUCCAAAUAUUUGUUUUCUCAGCGUCGGUAAAAAUUAGCUAAACCAAUCAAGAUGAAUCAAAACGCAUUUGAAUUUGAAAGCAUUGUUGUGAUCUCUUUGAAAACCUUCCCGAUCCGUUGACCCCACCCAUAUAUCCAUCGAAUCCUUCCUCCCCCACCUCGUCCCCCCACCCCCGUUAUAUUAAGCGUGGUUGUAUUGUAGCGCACAACAACGGCCAAAAAGCGAUUCGUUUGAAGCGGGCACACCGCAGGGCUCUAUCGAACUCGAUCAAAGGCGAAUUACUCCCCGAACGGCAAGAUAAAGAAAGGGUAGGAACAGUAGUAGCAAAUGCAAAUCAAAGGAAACUGUGUCGAAGACUUAAAAAUCGAUUAUCGAGUGUCAAACUCAGCCGAACAUUGUCAAAGGAUUAUUCAAGAAGUGCCCACCCUCACCACCUUGAUGGUCAACCGUUGCGAGGGAUGACGAAGUCAGGACGGAAAAUGUGCUCUUCUCUUCGACUGCCAAGAUGAUGGGGGAAAGGAACGGGCGAAUGGCGAAUGAUUAACGAGAGCCAUCAGGCGGCGAGAAAGUGAAAAUGGAAAUCAAUCUUCUUCUUUGGCACCGAACCGAGCGACGAGGAGGAGUCAGCAGCAGCAGCAGCAUCAGCUAAUUCCUCGAGCAUGAAGGAUCGCACCGAGGCCUAACAGAAAACAUAACGGUGUCAAUCCGAGCAAAUCUCACCGUGAACUGGAGCGAAAACAGCGGACGCCUUCGUUCAUUGUCCACCGCAAAUAAGGCAGCAAACAGCGGGCGUUGGCAACGGCUUCCGGGAAAACGUGUGUAAUAUCCAGCCAUCAAUAAUUAAUGGUUCACCUUUACUGGUACCAGGCGCCAUUUGUUCCGAAGGGGGGCUCGGCUGGUGCGGCAGCAGGAACAAGCAUUUUCCAUUAAAGCCGAUAGAGGUUAAAAACACGAAAACAAAAACCUCUACCGCCUUCUUUUCACAAUGGUUUAUUGUUUGCGAAGAUAGCAACAGCAACAAACUGUCAUCUCGCUCGAGCACCGGUUGCUACGACUAUAUGCCCUGUUGUAAAUGUAUCGGUUGAGCAAAAGACUUGAAAGGAGCAGAGCAUAAACUUUCGAGCACUUUCACCUGCUUCUGGAUGAGCCGUCGUCGUCGACGUCGAGUGUGGGUUGAUUGAUUUUUCAAGGGUUCUCUCCGAAAAAUCCAAUAUAAUGCGGUUAGGUACGUACGCGAAGUGUGCUCCAGCGCUCCAGCGCUGGCAGUUAAUAAAUCGCUUUUUGAGGUUAUUUGCAGCCGCUGUUGUGCCAGCUCGUUCGAUCUGUUUUCUCGCGAUUUGUAUAGGAAGUUAGCUUUAAAUCACGUUUUAGAUUAACCAACGUCACAGACUGAACUCACCACUGUCACCACCAAACCAACCAUCACACAAACAAAAUGUGACUUUUGGAAAGGCGAUCCGCUCUAUAAAGUGUUUAAUCCCAACUUUUCAAUCUAGGAAAAA